AUUGAGCGCUGGCGGCAGGCCUAACACAUGCAAGUCGAGCGGAUGAAGGGAGCUUGCUCCUGGAUUCAGCGGCGGACGGGUGAGUAAUGCCUAGGAAUCUGCCUGGUAGUGGGGGAUAACGUCCGGAAACGGGCGCUAAUACCGCAUACGUCCUGAGGGAGAAAGUGGGGGAUCUUCGGGCCUCACGCUAUCAGAUGAGCCUAGGUCGGAUUAGCUAGUUGGUGGGGUAAAGGCCUACCAAGGCGACGAUCCGUAACUGGUCUGAGAGGAUGAUCAGUCACACUGGAACUGAGACACGGUCCAGACUCCUACGGGAGGCAGCAGUGGGGAAUAUUGGACAAUGGGCGAAAGCCUGAUCCAGCCAUGCCGCGUGUGUGAAGAAGGUCUUCGGAUUGUAAAGCACCUUAAGUUGGGAGGAAGGGCAGUAAGUUAAUACCUUGCUGUUUUGACGUUACCAACAGAAUAAGCACCGGCUAACUUCGUG
rnacentral:rRNA from 1 species